rnacentral:rRNA from 1 species
AGUGAACGCUGGCGGUAGGCCUAACACAUGCAAGUCGAACGGCAGCACAGUAAGAGCUUGCUUCUACGGGUGGCGAGUGGCGGACGGGUGAGGAAUACAUCGGAAUCUACUUUUUCGUGGGGGAUAACGUAGGGAAACUUACGCUAAUACCGCAUACGACGUACGGGUGAAAGCAGGGGAUAUUCGGACUUUGCGCGAUUGAUUGAGCUGAUGUCGGAUUAGCUAGUUGGCGGGGUAAAGGCUCACCAAGGCGACGAUCCGUAGCUGGUCUGAGAGGAUGAUCAGCCACACUGGAACUGAGACACGGUCCAGACUCCUACGGGAGGCAGCAGUGGGGAAUAUUGGACAAUGGGCGCAAGCCUGAUCCAGCCAUACCGCGUGGGUGAAGAAGGCCUUCGGGUUGUAAAGCCCUUUUGUUGGGAAAGAAAAGCAGCAGGUUAAUACCCCGCUGUUCUGACGGUACCCAAAGAAUAAGCACCGGCUAACUUCGUG